rnacentral:rRNA from 1 species
AGGGAAUAGAUACCCUGGUAGUCCAUGCUGUAAACGAUGGAUGCUAGCUGUGAUGCGUAUCGACCCGCGUCGUAGCGAAGCUAACGCGUUAAGCAUCCCGCCUGUGGAGUACGGCCGCAAGGCUAAAACAUAAAGGAAUUGACGGGGACCCGCACAAGCGGUGGAGCGUGUUGUUUAAUUCGAUGGUAAGCGAAGAACCUUACCCAGGUUUGACAUCCUUGGAAGUUCUGCGAAAGCAGAGUGUGCCUUCGGGAACCAAGUGACAGGUGAUGCAUGGCCGUCUUCAGCUCGUGUCGUGAGACGUUAGGUUAAGUCCUUCAACGAGCGCAACCCUUAUAGUUAGUUGUAUUUUCUAGCUAGACUGCCCUGGUAACAGGGAGGAAGGAGGGGACGAUGUCAGGUCAGUAUCUCCCUUAUAUCUGGGGCUACAAACACGCUACAAUGGCCGGUACAAAGGGAAGCC